GUGAGGAUGCUGUGAGUGUCAGGGGUGCAGUGUGUGUGUGAGUGACGGUGCUGUCAGUGUCAAAGGUGCAGUGUGUGUGUGUGAGAGUGCUAUGUCAGGGGUGCAGUGUGUGUGUGUGCGUGAGUGAGUGUGCUGUGAGUGUCAGGGGUGCUUGUGUGUGUGAGGGUGCUGUGAGUGUCAACGUGCAGUGUGCGUGUGUGAGUGAUUAUUUCCCCCCUCCCUUCUAACCUUUGGUGGUGCUAGCGGUGAGUGAACUCUAGCCUG